UGACUAAUUCUCACGCGACACGGGGACCUGUGGCCCAGGGAAAUGAUCGCCGGCGCCAUGUUACUGUUCUCUGCCUUCAUGGGUACCUCCUCCACUCUCUUUAUAGCCACUCUGGAGAAUCCAGUCCACGCCAUCACCAACCAGACAGCCGUCCUGCCCGUCUCCCUGCGAUUCUCUACCCCGCCGGGGGAAUUCUUCCACCUCAAAUGGGAUUUCCUCUCAGGCGACCGCCCCGUCUUAGCCUACGUGAUGAGCAAGUGCAAAGGCAGCGCCCAUGAGUGGUGGCAGCGCUCCUGCCAGCGCGGCGUGAAGGUGGCGAAGGAAUAUCAGCAGCAGGCAAAUGUCUCUCUGCAGAGCGGUUCCCUGGUGAUCCAGCGUGUGCAGCCCACGGACGCUGGGACGUACCGGAUAACAGUGCGAGGCCUGGAUGUGUUUGUCAUGGCAGAGGUGAACCUGACAGUGACUGAAGCAGCUGCACCAACAAACUCGGGAAGAGUAAACGGAGCCAGAUUCAGCCUGGUGCCCAACGCCAUCCGCCUUGGCUUAGCCGGCCUGGUUCUCUGUCUCUUGGGGCUGAUCGUGGGAGAGGUGAGUGAGCCCCGCUGCUGUGGCUGCCUCUGGAGGGCCUGGGGAAAGGGUUGGGUCUCAUACACGAGCCACGCCAGCUCUGUGUAUUGCUCGUUAGGGGGUAUGGACCAGAUCCUCCAGUGGAGUAAACUGGUGUUGGGUUAAAUCCGGCUUUGCAAGGCCUGGAAUGCAAAUAGUGAAACUCCCUUUCUGCUCAAACUCUGCAACCUGAUCAGUGCAUCCUGGGUCUCGACUUUCUCCAUAACUGCUGUUUGGGGAUUGCCGAUAGAUCCUGAGGGGAGAUGCACUUUGGAAAUUAGACAGGAGGGUGUGUGUGAGGGAAGAGAGAGCUAGAUAUGAGGGGUGGGGGCUCUGCCCUGGCUGGGACGGGGAGGGACAGUGUUAAUUUUUUAAAAACAAUUUUUUUUCCACAACGUCCUACAACAAAUAAGAGUCAUUUUUCGCCCCAUGACUCCCUCGGCUGCCGUGGGACUAGGCUGAUCUGCCCCUGCAGCACAUGCAGGGGAGUCAAAUGUGCCUAAUCGCUUUCUCCUCCCCUCCCAGGCAGUUUACAAGCCAGCCGGCUGCUCUCCGCACCACCUGGAGGGAAGCCAAGAGCCAAGAGACGAGCUGGAGACUCUGGCCUGAGCCUCCACAUGCCUGGAUCUGCAGUGCUGAAAAUCCCCCAGCCGUCUAGUCUUGUACCCCGUGGCCAGCACAGGAUGCUUCUGAAGAAAGCAAAACGCCCCCACCCUGCCACACCCGGGGUGCUGGUACGUGGCAGGGGCUGCACUAGAGCGCGGUGUUUGAUCACCCGCCCGGCCCUAGCACAGCCUGGCAGAACGACCACUGGGCCCCAUUAGAGUUUUCUUUCAGCGGCAAUGUGGCCUAGUGGCUAGAGCACUAGACUGGCCCUGCCCUGAGGAGAUCUAGGUUCCGUUCUGCCGCCAGCCUGCUGGUGCCCGUAGCCAAGUCCUGUCCCUGCCCAGUGCCUCAGUUUUCUCAUUUGUUACAAUGAUGCCGACUUGCUUUGUGAAGUGCUUUGAGAUGUGCUGAUGAAGAGAACCAGAUUAAUUAUUAUUAUUUUAGCUCUUUCCCACUAGGUCAGAUACGACCCCAGCUCUGGAGGGGCUCCCCCCUUUUGACAGAAGAACUCCGGACCAGGUUUACAAGGGCCCAGCACUCACCAUUGGGGCCAGAGUUUUCAGUUCCCAAUUAGGCACUUACAUAAGUGGGCCAAAGGUCUCAGUGCCCAUCAUGCACCCAACGCGCUGAGCCCUUUAGACGCUCUCGCCCCGAUGGUGGGAGCCGAGCCCUUCUGACAAUUCCAGCCCUCUACAGGUGACAGCUGCUUAAAUGGGUCAGGUUUUACCUACUGGUGAAAGAGAACUCUUUACCUCUGCCCACUGCACAAAUAUUGGCAACGGUCGUAAAGAUCCAGCUUAGGGUUGCCAAUUUUGUAUGGAUGUGUUCCUGGAGAUUUCAUCACCUGACGUAAUCUUUAAUUAAAGAUUGCUCUUUAAUUUCCUGGAGACUCCAGGAGAACCCUGCAGGGUUGGCAACCCAAUCCACCUGCAUCUGACUCCUGCAGCAGUGAGUUCCACCGGUUGUCUAUACAUUGCCCAAAGUAGUUCCUUGUGUAGGUUCCAAAUUAAUGGCCCCUUCUUUUCAUCUGCUUAUCAGCACUGGAGACAAGAGUCUUUCAUUGCUGUAAUCCAGUGGUUCUCUCAACCUUUCCAGCCACUGUACCCCUUUCAGGAGGCUGACUUGUCUUGUGUACCUCCAAGAUUAAUCUCACUUAAAAACAACUUGCUUACAAAAUCAGACAUAAAAAUACAAAAGUGUCACAGCCACCCUAUUACUGAACAAAUGCUGACUGUCUCAUUUACCAUCUAAUUAUAAAAUAAAUCAACUGGAAUAUAAAUACCA
rnacentral:lncRNA from 1 species